rnacentral:rRNA from 1 species
UAUUGGACAAUGGGCGCAAGCCUGAUCCAGCCAUGCCGCGUGUGUGAAGAAGGCCUUCGGGUUGUAAAGCACUUUUGUUGGGGAAGAAAACCUGUUGGUUAAUACCCGAUGGGAAUGACGGUACCCAAAGAAUAAGCACCGGCUAACUUCGUGCCAGCAGCCGCGGUAAUACGAAGGGUGCAAGCGUUACUCGGAAUUACUGGGCGUAAAGCGUGCGUAGGUGGUUCGUUAAGUCUGCCGUGAAAGCCCCGGGCUCAACCUGGGAAUUGCGGUGGAUACUGGCGGACUAGAGUGCGGUAGAGGGUGGUGGAAUUCCCGGUGUAGCAGUGAAAUGCGUAGAGAUCGGGAGGAACAUCUGUGGCGAAGGCGGCCACCUGGACCAGCACUGACACUGAGGCACGAAAGCGUGGGGAGCAAACAGGA